GCAGAGCUGCCCAAGACCAUGGGAACCCACCUCCUGCAUCAGUGUGACCUUGAUGUGAGACAUGGAGUCAAAGAAGAUCAUUUUGGAGCUUUAAGAUUUGACUGCCCCACUGGAUUUUGAACUUGCAUAGGGCCUGUCAUCCCUUUGUUUUGGCCAAUUUCUCCCAUAUGGAACAGCUGUAUUUACCCAAUCCCUGUACUCCCAUUUUAUCUAGGAAGUAACUAACUUGCUUUUAAUUUUACAGGCUCAUAGGCAGAAGGGAUUUACCUUGUUUCAGAUGAGACUUUGGACUCUGAACUUUUGAGUUAAUGCUGAAAUGAGUUAGGGCUUUGAGGGACUGUUGGAAUGGUUUGAUUGAUUUUGAAAUGUGAGGACAUGAGAUUUGGGAGUGGCUAGGGAUGGAAUGAUAUGCUUGGGCUGUAUCCUCACCCAAAUCUCUUCUUGAAUUUUAUCUCCCAUAAUUCCCAUGUUGUGGGAGGGACCCAGUGGGAGAUAAGUGAAUCAUGGGGGACAGUUUUCCCCAUACUGUUCUCGUGGUAUUGAAUAAAUCUCACAAGAUUUCAUAAGGACUUUCCUCUUUCACUUAGCUCUCAUUCUCUCUUGCCUGUCACCAUGUAAGACACUCCUUGCUCUUCCACCAUGAUUCUGAGGCCUCCCCUACCAUGUGGAACUGUGAGUCAAUUAAACCUCUUUCCUUUAUAAAUUACCCAGUCUCAAGUAUGUCUUUAUUGGCAGCAUGAGAAUAGACUAAUACACCCAAGGACUCUCUUAGGUCAGGUUUCCCUAGAAGCAGAUCCAGAGGUGGGGAUUUUUGCGGGGAGGGCUUUCAGGGGAAGUGGAAAGAGGGAAGUAGGACAGAGCAGGGCAAGAAAGGUAAUCUAUGACAUCCCUGGGCUGGAGGCCAGCCUCAUUCUGGUCUCAUGAGGGCUCCUCUGGAGCAUGAAUUACAGCACCAAGUUGUCCCCUCCAGAGAGCAGACUUUUUGGUUUCACCAUGUUGGUCACGCUGGCCUUGAACUCCUGACCUCAGGUGGUCCACCUGCCUUGGCCUCCCAAAGUGCUGGGAUUACAGGCGUGAGCCACCGCACCCCGCCCACCUGUCAGUCAUCACCAUGGUAAGACAGCUCCAGGGGUCAUGAAUGCCCAGGCACUCUGGUUCUGUGUGUUUGCGUAUAUGUGUGUGUGUGCACGUGUGCAUGUGCAUGUGUGUGUGUGUGCAUGUGUAUGUGUGUGUGUGCAUGUGUGUGUCUGAAUUUUGUGCACACAAAGCCCCUCUAAUAGCUCAAGGGGAGCCCUCGAGAGAGAGUGGCAGGCACAGGCUAUUAGAAGCAAAGACACAGAGGAGCCAAGGAGGAGCUCACAGAAACGGAGUCAUCUCCAGCCUCCUACCUAGCGAUGCCCUUGGCAUUGCCUGGUGCACUGGGCUGGACAUUAUCCCACUCAAGAAUUCAUGUCCUUCUUAGAACCUGAGAAUGUGACCUUAUUUGGAAAUAGGGUCACUGCAGAUGAAAUUAGCUAAGACGAGGCCAUACCGAUGCAGGGUAGGCCCUUAAUCCAAUGUGACAAUAAGAUGAGGAGAAGAAGACACAGAGACAGAGACACGGAAGAAUGCCAUGUAAAGAUGAAGGCAGAGACUGGGGUGAUACAUCUACAAACCAAGGGGCUCCAAGGAUUGCCAGCAACUACCAAGAGCUAGGAGAGAGCCUGGAACUGAUUCUCCCUCAGAGCCUCCCAUAGGAACCAGCCCUGCCAACACCUUGAUUUUGGACUUCCAGCCUUCAGAACUGUGCAAGGAACAAUGCCUGUUGUUCUGAGCCUCCCAGUUUGUGGCUCUGUGUCAUGGCAGCUCUAGGAAAUAAACAUACCUGGGAGAAUAUGGGUUACGGGUAAGAGGCAGCAUCUGAGGCCCCUCAGCAUUGAUGGGAGACCGACAGGCUCACACCAUCAUCAUCUGGCCAGAAGGACUUGGAAAGAUGCUUACGUCCCAAAAGAGAAAGGAGAAAAAGAAAACCACACUUCCAUAGCCUUCCAGGAGGUAAGGAGCUGUAGCCCCACCCAGAGGAAACAAAGCUGGGUCCCAGCUAUGGACAGGAACACCACUAGUCCAGGCUGGAAAAUGUAUCCAAAUAUUCUGCAGUUGUUUUUGGAACUACAUCUGGCUAAAUGGGAGAGUCGCCGGGCCUGGCAGCUGGACCAAUGCCCAGUUAUAGAAAGAGGAGGGAGUGGCUGGCUAGCCGGUAAGUGGUGGCAGGGUUGCGGGAGAGGGAAGGAGUCACUCUCCUUUGCACCAGAGACCCCUUGUCCAUGAAUGCAUGUUUAGGAACAGCAGAAGAGGGGGAGCCUGACUGGCAUCUUGCCAAGUUUACCCUCUGGGUGGGAGACCAGAGGCCAUAUCUCCUCACUCAGCCCUGGCAUCUUUUGCUGAAUAAAGUAUAUCCACAGGCCAGAGGAAACCAAGGAGAAAGAAUUUGCUAGAAAUAACAUUGCCCAAACUUCACUCACUCAAGUACCAUCUUCACACAUUUUGCCAUGUCUCAGGGUUUCAUCAAAAUAAAAGUAUAUAGUUCAUCAAAAAACACUAUCAAGGCCGGACACAGUGGCUCACGCCUAUAAUCCUAGCACUUUAGGAGGCCAAGGCAGGCGGAUCACCUGACCAGCCUGGCCAACAUGGUGAAAUCCCAUCUCUACUAAAAAUACAAAAUCAACCAGGCAUGGUGGUGCAUGCCUAUAAUCCCAGCCACUUGGGAGGUUGAGGCAGAAGAAUCGCUUGAACCUGGGAGACAGAGGUUGCAGUGAGCCGAGAUCGCUCAAUUGCACAUUGCACUCCAGCCUGGGCAACAAAAGCAAAACUCCAUCUAAAACAAAAACAAAAACAAAAACAACAA
rnacentral:lncRNA from 1 species